rnacentral:rRNA from 1 species
GACGAACCGUCCUAACGUUGUUCGGAAUCACUGGGCUUAAAGGGCGCGUAGGCGGGUUCCCAAGUCGGUGGUGAAAUCCUUCGGCCCAACCGGAAAACAGCCGCCGAUACUGGGAGUCUUGAGGGAGGUAGGGGUCGAUGGAACUUCCGGUGGAGCGGUGAAAUGCGUAGAUAUCGGAAGGAACGCCGGUGGCGAAAGCGAUCGACUGGACCUUUUCUGACGCUGAGGCGCGAAAGCGUGGGGAGCAAACAGG